CGGACGGGUGAGUAAUGUCUGGGAAACUAGCCUGAUGAGGGGGAGUAACUACUGGAAACGGUAGCUAAUACCGCAUAACGUCGCAAGACCAAAGAGGGGGACCUUCGGGCCUCUUGCCAUCGGAUGUGCCCAGAUGGGAUUAGCUAGUAGGUGGGGUAACGGCUCACCUAGGCGACGAUCCCUAGCUGGUCUGAGAGGAUGACCAGCCACACCGGAACUGAGACACGGUCCAG
rnacentral:rRNA from 1 species